GCUUACGGCCAUACCAACCUGGCUAUGCCCGAUCUCGUCUGAUCUCGGAAGCUAAGCAGGUUUGGGCCUGGUUAGUACUUGGAUGGGAGACCGCCUAGGAAUACCAGGUGCUGUAAGCU
ensembl:rRNA 5S_rRNA 5S ribosomal RNA